rnacentral:rRNA from 1 species
GACGAGCCACCCGAACGUUAUUCGGAAUUACUGGGCUUAAAGGGUGCGUAGGCGGUGCAGCAAGUCGGGAGUGAAAUACCCCAGCUUAACUGAGGAAUUGCUUUCGAUACUGCUGUGCUUGAGUGAGACAGAGGUAAGCGGAACUUAGGGUGGAGCGGUGAAAUGCGUUGAUAUCCUAAGGAACACCGGUGGCGAAGGCGGCUUACUGGGUCUCAACUGACGCUGAGGCACGAAAGCUAGGGUAGCAAACGGG